UAGGAAUAUUCGUCAAUGGGGGAAACCCUGAACGAGCAAUGCCGCGUGAACGAUGACGGUCCUCUGGAUUGUAAAGUUCUGUUGUUUGGGAAGAACGGCUCUAAUAGGAAAUGAUUAGAGAUUGACUGUACCAUUCAAGAAAGCCACGGCUAACUAC
rnacentral:rRNA from 1 species